AAUUUUUUUUCAUCCAUAGAAAUAGAUAGAGCACUACUGGUUAGGUCUAAAUGAAGGCUUUAAUUUAUUUCAGAUGUCACUCUGUCUCUAAAGAUCUAGUGUGAUCUCAACUCUGAUGUACAAAGAGACUGAUAAACCAUGUGAAGGAAGUCAGGCCAGGGACUCCAUUUCAUGUUCUUUUGAGAUGCAACAACUGAGCCUUUUCCUGCAUCUCGGUGGAAGUGAAAUGGAUUCUCUCUCUGUUAAUGUGACUCAUACCAGACUUCUGAAACCAUCACCCAAACAUGAGCAGAGUAGAUCUGCAGAUAGCAGAGCACCAAUACCUCUCUUCCUCUCCAAACUCCACCUUCAG
rnacentral:lncRNA from 1 species